rnacentral:rRNA from 1 species
AUUGAACGCUGGCGGCAGGCCUAACACAUGCAAGUCGAGCGGUAGCACAGAGAGCUUGCUCUCGGGUGACGAGCGGCGGACGGGUGAGUAAUGUCUGGGAAACUGCCUGAUGGAGGGGGAUAACUACUGGAAACGGUAGCUAAUACCGCAUAACGUCGCAAGACCAAAGUGGGGGACCUUCGGGCCUCAUGCCAUCAGAUGUGCCCAGAUGGGAUUAGCUAGUAGGUGGGGUAACGGCUCACCUAGGCGACGAUCCCUAGCUGGUCUGAGAGGAUGACCAGCCACACUGGAACUGAGACACGGUCCAGACUCCUACGGGAAGCAGCAGUGGGGAAUAUUGCACAAUGGGCGCAAGCCUGAUGCAGCCAUGCCGCGUGUGUGAAGAAGGCCUUCGGGUUGUAAAGCACUUUCAGCGGGGAGGAAGGCGGUGAGGUUAAUAACCUCAUCGAUUGACGUUACCCGCAGAAGAAGCACCGGCUAACUCCGUGCCAGCAGCCGCGGUAAUACGGAGGGUGCAAGCGUUAAUCGGAAUUACUGGGCGUAAAGCGCACGCAGGCGGUCUGUCAAGUCGGAUGUGAAAUCCCCGGGCUCAACCUGGGAACUGCAUUCGAAACUGGCAGGCUAGAGUCUUGUAGAGGGGGGUAGAAUUCCAGGUGUAGCGGUGAAAUGCGUAGAGAUCUGGAGGAAUACCGGUGGCGAAGGCGGCCCCCUGGGCAAAGACUGACGCUCAGGUGCGAAAGCGUGGGGAGCAAACAGGAUUAGAUACCCUGGUAGUCCACGCCGUAAACGAUGUCGAUUUGGAGGUUGUGCCCUUGAGGCGUGGCUUCCGGAGCUAACGCGUUAAAUCGACCGCCUGGGGAGUACGGCCGCAAGGUUAAAACUCAAAUGAAUUGACGGGGGCCCGCACAAGCGGUGGAGCAUGUGGUUUAAUUCGAUGCAACGCGAAGAACCUUACCUGGUCUUGACAUCCACAGAACUUUCCAGAGAUGGAUUGGUGCCUUCGGGAACUGUGAGACAGGUGCUGCAUGGCUGUCGUCAGCUCGUGUUGUGAAAUGUUGGGUUAAGUCCCGCAACGAGCGCAACCCUUAUCCUUUGUUGCCAGCGGUCCGGCCGGGAACUCAAAGGAGACUGCCAGUGGUAAACUGGAGGAAGGUGGGGAUGACGUCAAGUCAUCAUGGCCCUUACGACCAGGGCUACACACGUGCUACAAUGGCAUAUACAAAGAGAAGCGACCUCGCGAGAGCAAGCGGACCUCAUAAAGUAUGUCGUAGUCCGGAUUGGAGUCUGCAGCUCGACUCCAUGAAGUCGGAAUCGCUAGUAAUCGUAGAUCAGAAUGCUACGGUGAAUACGUUCCCGGGCCU